rnacentral:rRNA from 1 species
CCUACGGGAGGCAGCAGUGAGGAAUAUUGGUCAAUGGGCGCGAGCCUGAACCAGCCAAGUAGCGUGAAGGAUGACUGCCCUACGGGUUGUAACCUUCUUUUAUAAAGGAAUAAAGUGAGGCACGUGUGCCUUUUUGUAUGUACUUUAUGAAUACGGAUCGGCUAACUCCGUGCCAGCAGCCGCGGUAAUACGGAGGAUCCGAGCGUUAUCCGGAUUUAUUGGGUGUAAAGGGAGCGUAGAUGGGUUGUUAAGUCAGUUGUGAAAGUUUGCGGCUCAACCGUAAAAUUGCAAUUGAUACUGGCAGGCUUGAGUACAGUUGAGGUAGGCGGAAUUCGUGGUGUAGCGGUGAAAUGCGUAGAUAUCACGAAGAACACCGAUUGCGAAGGCAGAUUACUAAACUGCCACUGACAUUGAUGCGCGAAAGUGUGGGUAGCAAACAGGAUUAGAUACCCCUGUAGUC